UACGGGGGGGGGCAAGCGUUGUUCGGAAUUACUGGGCGUAAAGGGCUCGUAGGCGGCCAACUAAGUCAGACGUGAAAUCCCUCGGCUUAACCGGGGAACUGCAUCUGAUACUGGAUGGCUUGAGUUCGGGAGAGGGAUGUGGAAUUCCAGGUGUAGCGGUGAAAUGCGUAGAUAUCUGGAGGAACACCGGUGGCGAAGGCGGCAUCCUGGACCGGUAUUGACGCUGAGGUGCGAAAGCGUGGGGAGCGAACAGG
rnacentral:rRNA from 1 species